rfam:Flavobacterium fluvii strain DSM 19978 genome assembly, contig: Ga0131141_104
CAACCGUUGAGUUCAGAAACAACUAAAAACGAGGCGUACUCUGAAAAUCCUAACGAGUAAGAAAUAU